CAGCAGGAGGGAUGGUUGUGGCUGCUUACCCAGAAAGCUUUGGAAGUGGGCCCGAGAGCAGCCAUACUACGCAGGCUCUUUUGCUAAUGUUUUAAAAAAGCAGACAAGACAACUGAAGGUCCGAGCCUGAUGUCUAAAUGUUCUGACUAUACAGGACCCUCUGGACUUCAGAAUGAGAUCAUGCUGCUAUAGCUGAAUGGGUGCACUGGAAGAACAUUUCUGAAUACUCUUCACCCCUUCCAAUUUGUUUAUCUAUACAGGAGUGAAAAACUAUAUGUAGAAAAAUCUCUGAAAGUUAGAAGUAGUUUGUGCACUAACAUGUCAGAAUCUGUGGGAAAAUGCUGACUUUGCCCUCAUGCUCUGCGUUGUUUUUUAUCAUUUUCCACUACUGUACAGAAAAAUACAUACUGUGAAUUCUCAAAGUGCCUCAUCUGUGAUUGCCUGCAGUACAGGAGACUUCAUUUUAGGAGUCUCCUAAAGUCUCCAAGUCCUACCUGAGACAUAGAUUCUACAUAGCUGGAUGAGACAGUCAUGAUCGUAGAGGUCUUUUGCACAUCAGUAGAAGACCAAGAGAGUGAAAGCAAGAGGGUACCAAAUUAAUCACUGAAGGUAAC